rnacentral:snoRNA from 1 species
CUCCUCUCAGGGUCACACCUGGAGAGUUUCCAGUACUCUACCAGUCAUGACUACAGGAGGGAGAGUCAAGCAGAGGCCUACCCAUUCCAUUCCUAGCUUAGCCAGUGGCUAGCGAGGGGAAGGAAAUAUGCUACAAGU